rnacentral:lncRNA from 1 species
CACCUUCUCCUAGUGAGUCAAGUUCUCCAGGCCUUUCUUAGAAAGUCUGGAACACUUGGGGAAGGUGCACUGGCCUUGCACGGUGGCCAUGCUCAUUGUCUACACCUGCACGGUCCAUUGGAGGUGGUAGGUUACCGCUUGGGCCUGCUUGGCAAGUCAUCUUUUGCCAGAGCUGGGACACCCAGGGCCUAGAAUGCAGCUUCCCUUUAAUAACACAAGGCUGUUUUGCUCUGGUUCCGCCCUCUCCCCCGACCUCCGCUACUCCGCUAUUCCUCCCAGCCAAAUUGAAUAGAGUACACCAGGUAUCGAGGUCUCUAGCACUCAAGAAAAUCCCCUUCCUGGUUCCGGGGAAUGAAUAAUUCAUCUUGAGACCCAGGCAGUCAAUCCUGCCCCACCCAUGCCUUCCUGCCCUGGGAGGGACCCUGUGAUCUGUGCCCAGCAGGUGUGUGUGACAGAACAAUGCCAUCCCUCCUUCCUGGGGGCAGGGCUGGGGGAAGCUCAGGUGAAAGCUGCUGAUUUGGUGUCUGUGAAGUUUGAGAACCAUUGCUCGGCCGGCCAAGUUGAGCGAUCUAUCCCUCUCAGAUCCUUGGAGUGUCCAGAUGAGGAAUCAGAGGCCCAGAGAGGGGAAGGGACUUACCCAACGUCACACAGCAGGCCAGUUCCAGUUCCAAGGCAGGAACAGAUUCCUGAGACCCUGUCUCCCACCGCUCUGGCCCCGCUCUUCUCAUUCUCUUCUGAUGGGGGCCUGAUUCCUUUGCUUCAACUGAAUCUUACAAUUUACUUGGUUUUGCUAACUGUAAAAUUACCAGGUACUUCAUCAGAAAACUCGCAGUACAUCUAGAAGCCCUAGGGACACACACACAGGUGUGCACAUAACACACACGCCACCACUGCAAGGUAACCGCUGUUAGCACCGGCGGGCAUACUUCUCCCAGGACGCGGAGAGAAACACCCCGCUCGGAGCGCCGGGCCGCAGCUGGGAAGGCAGCUCUCCCGUGUCCUGCCCUCCCCAAGGAAGAGUGUGGACCGCUGCGUGGGGCCCUCGCCACCAAGCUCAGAAUGGAAACGGGUGUCCACAAGGGGACCCCACCAGACCACAGCGGGCGGGGGGAAGAGCCUGAGACUCCCCUUCAGCGGCGCUAAACCCACUCUGCUUCGCGGAGAGUCUAUGAUUAGAGCCUCAGACUGAGGAGAGUGUCCAAGGUCACCCCACCGCUAUUUGGGAGUGUGGACAUGAGACCCGAGCAAUCUCCAUCGUCUGCCAUGUUCCCAGGCCGGAGAGAGCAACAAAGAGUUCCUGCAGUGAGGAUGGGUGGAGGUGGGCCCUGAGGUGCCUGGGUGAGUGGUGAGCAUGCCAUUGAGCCAUUGCUGCUGGCUUUCAGCAGCAGAAGGAAGUGGACCCGCCUGCGCCAGUCUUCUUGCCACUGAACACUUGGUUAUUAAAAAGACUCCUUUAAGACUGCUUGAUGUUUUGGACUAAAUAAAGCUGUGCUCCC